UUUCGGCCACAUCGCGAUGAAACAUCGGUUCCCGUAUGAUCACUAAAGUUAAGCAAGGUCGAGCCUGGGCAGUAUCUACAUGAAUGACCGCUUGGGGAUAGCAGGUGCUACAAG